rnacentral:ncRNA from 2 species
AUCGUUCAUCCCUCACCACACACAAGCCAGUUCAUCUCUGAACGGCAUGAAGCUGGCAAGGGACGGAAGUAGGGAGUCACUCCCGAAGGAACGCGCC